CCACAGCAGCAGACGGCUGUAGAGUUUAGUAGUUCGUGUCAUGCGUUUGUACGGUAUUAUGUGGCGUUUUCUGUGUAAUAUAUGAGUGAUUUGAUGGUGGAGACAGGACAUCACGGAAAGACGCAUAUUGAGUGUGUGGAUUAGGAGAGCACUCAUGGACUCAAAGGGAACUAGUUGGCUGAAAAAAGAGAAGAAUGAAGUAUAUGCUGAACCAGUCUCCUUGGUUCAGUUACACACAUCUACCAUGAAAGUAAAAGAAGAAUUGGAUGAGCAAGUGAACCAUCAGUUUCUUCAAGGUCCACCAAGGAUUGUAAUGCCUAGUCUUCGUAUAAAGCAAGACCUAGAACUGAAACGGGAUUUAGAUGGCGUUGAGCAUGAUGUAAGUUUUCACAUCGGUGAUGCAUUGUGCUUGAAGUACUGUAUGAAUAUCAUGAAAUGAAUUGGGUGCAGUAAAUUCCAGUGAUCAUAAAUGAUGAAUCAUUAAAACCUAGGAUAUUAGCACUUCUCCAGAAUUUUUAUAGUAUUUCAAUUGACUGUAUGUAUAUUGUUCUGUUGUAUGUAAUGGUAUUUGAAUGAAACUUGUAGGAAACAUAAGUUUAUUAAUUGUAACACAUCGUAAUUUUA